GUGUUCGGUUGGCUAUAACGAUUGUGCCACAUAACCUACCCUUAAACUUAACUUGUCAACAACACUGACAAACGUCACAACCAUCAAAAAUUUUUGUUAUUCCAUUUUUAAAACACAACAUUUGAAAAUAUGCAGCUGCUGUUCAAAUUCAUAUCCACAUCAAAUAUCUAAGGACAGCCCCAAGGGACGUGUCCAAAUCAUUCAUAAAUGUUCAUAGACGAUGAACUUCAUUAAACUAAAAUUAAAGAAGAAAGUUGGGAAAUCAUCUACAUUAAGGCAGCAACAGCAAGACACUAACGACAAGAUGCAAUCUAGGCAUUCCUCAACUUCGGGAGUAUUGAUGGUAGGCCCAAAUUUCAGGGUCGGCAAGAAAAUCGGUAGUGGCAAUUUUGGAGAACUGAGAUUAGGAAAGAACCUCUACAACAAUGAGCAUGUCGCCAUUAAAUUGGAACCUCUUAAGUCUAAAGUACCGCAGUUGCAUCUGGAGUAUAGAUUUUAUCAAAUGUUAGGAGAACAGGAAGGUAUUGCUAAAAUAUACCACCUCGGUAUAUGCGGUGGAAGAUACAAUGCUCUGGUGAUGGAACUCCUCGGACCAACUUUAGAAGACCUCUUUUCGGUCUGUAGCAGACGAUUUAAACUUAAGACAGUACUACUCAUAGCUGACCAGUUAAUAACUCGUUUGGAGUACGUUCAUAGCAAGAGAUUAAUAUUUCGUGAUAUUAAGCCUGAGAAUUUUUUGAUCGGAAGGUGGAGGACCAAAAAAGAUAAGAUAAUUCAUAUUAUUGAUUUCGGAUUGGCCAAGGAGUAUAUAGAUCCUGAUACUGGGAAGCAUAUACCAUAUAAGGAACAUAAAUCUUUGACGGGAACGGCCCGCUACAUGAGCAUCAACACCCAUAUGGGUCGGGAGCAGUCCCGGCGAGAUGAUUUAGAGGCGUUGGGACACAUGUUCAUGUACUUUUUGAGGGGCUCGCUGCCGUGGCAGGGCCUCAAAGCUGAUACUUUAAAGGUAAUAGUCCAGAGCGGUAUCAAAAAAUCGGCGAAACGAAAAGGUCCACGACGAUCGAGAGCUUGUGCGAAGGUCAACCCGAGGAGUGGGCCACGUACUUGAGAUACGUUCGGAAGUUGGAUUUCUCCGAGACGCCGGAUUAUGAUUAUUUGAGGAAGAUAUUUAGGGAUUUGUACGAGAAAAAAGGGUACUCUGAUGAUAUGGUCUUCGAUUGGACGGAUAAAGUUUCAUGGUUUAGUCCGGACGAAAGGAAGGAAAGCCAAAGAGACAAGCCGAAGAUAUGAUUAAUAAAAGACGUUUACUAUGUUAUUGUGGUAAUUCACAGAAAUAUUUGUAAAACGUGAAAUAUAUUAUAAUUUAUUAAAAUGUUACCAUAAA
rnacentral:misc_RNA from 1 species